UAUGUUACAUAUUUACGACGAGACUAAUCUCAAAAUAACUUCGAUAAUUAGGUUUAGGUCUAUUCUUUAAACAACAAAAAACACAUAUUAGAGAGUUUAGAGACUAGUUGACUGACAUUGACGUCUGACGAUUGACAAUGAUGACCACACUGACUGACCAGGACCACAGACUUUGAAGAUAUAUCUAUAACACAGAUAAGAAGAAAAUAUGAGCCAAUAAUGUACGGUCAUACGUGCACCCAGCCAGAUAAAACACCGUUCAAUAUGUACGUGAAUAUUUCGGUACGCUCGUCUGUUAGUGCUAUACAACUAUAAAAAAAAUGGGUGCUAAACUGGCAACACCUGGGGGCCUAUCGCAAAACACUUUAUUCGCUCAAUCCGUUCGAUACUCUGUCGGCUCUCUGUUGCUCGAAUCCAGAGCGAUAGAGAGGCACAUUAAGUUAAUACCAUACCAAAGACGUUUCGAUUUUCGCGGUAGGCCUCUGACUUGUCAAUAAUAAUGUGAGUAUAGUAUUGUAUUGUGACGAACACGAGUAGUAUCUAAUUUAGUUAUUUAUUUUAUUCCACAAUUCUUUUUUCACUUCAUGGUUAAGAUUUAUACUGUGCAUCAUUUGUCUUGAAAUUGAUAAACGGAGCUUUUUGGGAUUGUAUUGUUAUUAAUACUCUAUCUCUGCGUCACACCGUAGCCAAAUAGCCAUUUAUUUACGUUCUCAUUUGUCUUGAAAUUGAUAAACGGAACUUUUUGGGAUUGUAUUGUUAUUAAUACUGUAUUUCUUUACAUCGAUGCGUCGCCAAAUCGUGGACGCCUCAACAAAAAAGACCGUAAGGCAGGCCUACGAAGCGUUGGAUAGAUUUUGUAGAAGAUCUCACGUAGAUGAGAAAGUUUACCAACUGGAAGAAGGUCGCCAUCUCACACAGGGUUGUAGCUCCAAUGGAAUUAAAAUUGAAAAUUGCUUCCAACAUCAAUUGUUGUAAUAACUUUGAGGAAUGUAAAAUAUUUGUUCAUUUUUGAGUCUUUAAAUAGUUGAAAUUCAUAGCUGCAGAAAAGUAUGCUUGAUGAAACAAUUCAUAUAAUGUCUAUGGUGUUUUUUAUCUUCAAAUGUUAAAAAAUUGCGAUCGUGAAAGGAAGUGGUUGCUGGUGAACUGUCUUUGCCCCACAUUCUUUUUGUUUAUAGUUCUCUAAUAAAUCAUAUAUAUAUUGUCUUAUCACUUGCCAUAAUUUUAUUUUGGGAAAUGUGAAGUGGCACUGGCGCACAAUAUCUACAUAUGAAUGAAACAUAAACAUGUUUACAUAUGCACAUACGUAAAUGUGUCUGUGGUUAGUUGAAAUUAAUGUUUUAGAAAGACAUGCUUUGUUGUGCUGUUUCCAAAGAGUAUCAGAGAGAAAUUAUAGUUGAGAUGAAUUUGGUCAAAAUUGCAAGUUUAUAUUCUCUUGUUUAGGUUAGUUAUUGUAAACCCAUGUAGCAGACUAGUGUCAAGUUGUUAACAUGUUCACUGCGGGAGGGGGUCGAAAGACUCCUCGACUGUUGUAAUAAAACACGUUACUCUCUUCAAUGUUUAUUUUCUUGUGACAUUUUUGUUAGUAUGACAACCAUAGCAACAUAAAAUAUAUUAUAUAAAAAGUUCCUAACACAAUAGAAAUCUUACCUACUUCCAACUUGCUUCCAACACUCCCACUAGGUAGGAUUUUAAAAUAAAUGCUACUUUCAAGUAAAGCAUAUAGUUUGAAAAUUAGUGACUCUCACUAUCUGGUUAGUAGCUAUAAAGUAUAGUAUGUAAAUUAGUAGUUUAGAAAAUAAGACUCCCACUGCAUAUCAAACAACAGUGUUUGUCGAAAUUUUAUAACCUUCUUUCAUAACUUGUAUCUUUAGAUCAAAGAGGAAAAGUGGAGCCAGUCGAUUUCGCAUUAUUGUUUUAUCAUUUAUUUCUUUGUAUGCUUCUUGAAAAAUGUUUCGUUUUUCAUCAGUUAGCUCAGCUUCUGUUGAAGUUUCUUCGCAAUCGAAGUGUCGGUCAAAUGGCAGUACUCCGUUAGUUGGUUUUGAUUUUGAUCUAAGCUCUCACCAAAUUUACUUUUCUCUUUGGUCCACUUUUCAUACGGGGUUAAGUGUUUGCUAGAAGUUUUAUUCAGAGUAUAUAUAGCAUUGUUGACUACAUCAGUCCAAAAAUAUGGAGAACACUUAGCGUGAUAAUGUAGGCCUCGUAGCGAUUCCAUGAUCUUACAGAUAUCUUGUUCCAUGAAUGCAUUUUGUCUUGUUAUUUUUAGGCAUAUGCCAAAAUUUCUCAGAAAGUCUUUGAAAUCAGUGCUGCAGUAUUCGCCUCCAAAAUUUGCAUGUAGGACUUUGAUUGAAUGGCCAAACUUAUUUUUCACCAGUUGUAAGAACUCCUUAAAGUUUUCGAAUACAUCACUUUUUUCUCGCAUAAAUGAGGCGGUUACGUACCAUUCAGAUUCCGACUACACCAGCAUUACUGUAGCAGUAUUGCAGCGCGACAUUACUGCCGACUGCAUUGCUGCCGCAACUGUAAAUUCCAGAGGCAAGAGCAUCGAUUCUGUAAAUUCAUGGUUACUAUUUUGAAGCCUUUUAUAGAUACAAAUAAAAAACUGUUACCACUUUUUAUUUAAUAAUACAGCAAUACAAAGAGCUUUUUAACUUUUUAUCAAUAAUACGUGUUCCGAAUAUUUAUUGAUUCAGUUAUUCGAAUUUUAAUUUCAGUGCAUUAAAAGUCUCUUUUGUGAAGCCAGGGCGACCGUCGGUAGUGUGAUACCACUUGAAUAACGCUUUAGGAUGCUGUAAACAUGUGUUCAUUUUCUAACGUAUUGAUAGGCUUUACUGAAAUAAAAAAAAUAAUAUUAGUGCAAAUGUUUGUACUUAAGGAGAAUAUUUGGUUCGACUUAUUUUACCUUACUAAGCAUUUAUUAUUUGAUUUUUAAGUUUCUCUUGACCUCGUUGAUCAGCAGUGGACCAUGCUCUCGAAAAUUUCAAGUACCUACGCUAUGCCAACGUGUUGGUGUUGUUGAUUUAAUACUUGGAACGUGAUCCAAGUUGAAUUGGAUUGGAUCAUCCAACCCGCCAAUCCGAUGCUGUUCAUCAUUUUUUGGUAAAUAAAUCCUGUUCCUAUUCUUCAUCAGAAAUAGGAUCAGUCAAACUAUACCAAAGGGGGGCCGAUUUUGGGACUUAGUUUUUUUUUUUUUUGAAAAAUGUAAAAAACAGGGGUUACAAAAGACUUCAAAUAAUUUUCAAGAUUUUGAUGAUAUAACCACUUUUUUCUUAAUAAACUUUUAUCUGAAAUCAAAAAUGGCCGAGUUAGAGGCCUUCAAAGACUGAUGUUUUUAAAGGGAACUGGGACGUAAAAUUUUCAUCGAGAGUGGUGUCAUUAUAACACUAUUUUUAAAUGAUUGUAAUGUGUAGAUGACGUCAAAACAAGCAUCUUUUAUUGAAAAAACUUUUCUCUAAAAUUAAAAAUGGCCGAGUUAGAGGCCUUCAAAGGUUGAAGUUUUUGAAGGGAGCUAAAAUUUUCAUCGAGAGUGGUGUCAUUAUAACACUAUUUUUAAGUAAUUGUAAUGUGUAGAUCACGUCAAAACAAGCAUUUUUUUAUUGGAAAAACUUUUCUCUAAAAUUAAAAAUGGCUGAGUUAGAGGCCUUCAAAGGUUGAAGUUUUUGAAGGGAGCUAAAAUUUUCAUCGAGAGUGGUGUCAUUAUAACACUAUUUUUAAGUAAUUGUAAUGUGUAGAUCACGUCAAAACAAGCAUUUUUUUAUUGGAAAAACUUUUCUCUAAAAUUAAAAAUGGCCGAGUUAGACUAGUCUCGUUUUAGGUAACUGGUUUAUUUUUUCUUAUAACAAAAUCUGUAUCAUUAGUUGCUAUAAGGACAAUUAAUUCUUGUUUAUAUUAAUAUCGUUGAUGUUUCCCUGCAGAAAUCGGUAAUGUCUACACCCUAGCGAAUUCAAUCAUACCGAAAUUUUGACAAUUUUUUGGGUAUAGCAUUCAUUUAACUUUUGGGUAUGUUUUUAGAAUCAUUUUAUAACCAUACAGGUUUUCUUUGGACUUGACCACGUGGAGCUCUCUUUUCAUCGGAAAUUAACAAUAUUCGAUGUCUAAAGCGCACUCAGAAAAUUUGGCAUGACUCAUGCUUAAAUAUAACGGCUCAGGAACGCUUCGGCCCCAGUUUCAUUUCGUCAUCUCCAUAAAUCGUCCGCAGUGUUAUGUCGUCACCCUACAAUUCCUAAUUCGUAACCUUCCUAACUCGUCCACUUUCUUAUAUCGUCAAUACCCCAUUUUGUCUAAAUUCCUAUUUUGACCAUAGUGCCAACUCGUCCAAUAUCUGAUAUCGUCAAUAUACCAUUUUUGUCUACGUUCCUAUUUCGACCAAAGUGCCAACUCGUCCGCGUUCUU